GAAGAAGAGCCUACGUAACACCUAAAAUUAGUACUCUUUGUACACAAAGAGCAGGAACAUUUGUGAAUGGAACAUUUACAGUGUAUGAGAAAACAGUGAGGAGUGAAUUCAUUUACUAUGGAAUAGAAGAUAGAACGGGGAGGAUGGAAGUGGUGGUCUACGGACUAUUUACCAAACUGUACUGUGAGCCUGGGGAUAAGCUUAGACUUGUCUGCUUUGAACUGAGCUCCAGUUUGGAUAUGUGGCAGCUGAGAUCUGUGAGGCACAGUUAUAUGCAGGUCGUCCAGGCUAGGAAGAGAGACUAUGAACCUCCCAAUCCUCAUGCAAUUAUUGAAACAGCUCAAAGAUCCCAAUCAUGGACCCUUGAACAAUGGUAAUGAUGCUGUGCUGAUAAGCUGCAAGUGCAGAAGAAUAAGCAAUGUGCAUAUGGCAUAUAGUGAAAAAACACAUGUAAAAUCCAGCUCUUGAUCCUAAGAAAUAAUAUUCCUUUAAUUUUUCCUUAUGCAUUUUAGGUUCUCUAUAUUCCAUAUUUCCAUCUGUAUGUCUCAAAAUAUGAAAGACAGAAAGAUAUAAACAUUUUGUCUAAA
rnacentral:lncRNA from 1 species